GCCCGUUAAUGGGUGAUAGCGUGCCUUUUGUAGAAUGAACCGGCGAGUUACGAUUUGUUGCAAGGUUAAGCGGAAAAAGCGGAGCCGUAGCGAAAGCGAGUCUGAAUAGGGCGCAUAAGUAACAGGUCGUAGACCCGAAACCAGGUGAUCUACCCAUGUCCAGGAUGAAGGUAAGGUAAUACUUACUGGAGGUCCGAACCCACGCACGUUGAAAAGUGCGGGGAUGAGGUGUGGGUAGCGGAGAAAUUCCAAUCGAACUUGGAGAUAGCUGGUUCUCUCCGAAAUAGCUUUAGGGCUAGCCUCGAGGUAAAGAGUCAUGGAGGUAGAGCACUGUUUGGACUAGGGGCCCUUCUCGGGUUACCGAAUUCAGAUAAACUCCGAAUGCCAUGUACUUAUACUCGGGAGUCAGACUGCGAGUGAUAAGAUCCGUAGUCGAAAGGGAAACAGCCCAGACCACCAGUUAAGGUCCCCAAAUAUAUGUUAAGUGGAAAAGGAUGUGGGGUUGCUUAGACAACCAGGAUGUUGGCUUAGAAGCAGCCACCAUUGAAAGAGUGCGUAAUAGCUCACUGGUCGAGUGACCCCGCGCCGAAAAUGUACCGGGGCUAAACAUAUUACCGAAACUGUGGAUGAACCUCUUUAGAGGUUCGUGGUAGGAGAGCGUUCUAAGGGCGGUGAAGUCAGACCGGAAGGACUGGUGGAGCGCUUAGAAGUGAGAAUGCCGGUAUGAGUAGCGAAAGAAGGGUGAGAAUCCCUUCCACCGAAUAUCUAAGGUUUCCUGAGGAAGGCUCGUCCGCUCAGGGUUAGUCGGGACCUAAGCCGAGGCCGAUAGGCGUAGGCGAUGGACAACAGGUAGAGAUUCCUGUACCAGUGCUAAUUGUUUAACCGAUGGGGUGACACAGAAGGAUAGGGAAUCGCACGAAUGGAAAUGUGCGUCCAAGCAGUGAGUGUGAGAAGUAGGCAAAUCCGCUUCUCGCGAAGCAUGAGCUGUGAUGGGGAAGGAAAUUAAGUACGGAAGUUCCUGAUUUCACGCUGUCAAGAAAAGCCUCUAGGAAGAGUAGUACUGCCCGUACCGCAAACCGACACAGGUAGAUGAGGAGAGAAUCCUAAGGUGAGCGAGAGAACUCUCGUUAAGGAACUCGGCAAAAUGACCCCGUAACUUCGGGAGAAGGGGUGCUCUAUUAGGGUGCAAGCCCGAGAGAGCCGCAGUGAAUAGGCCCAGGCGACUGUUUAGCAAAAACACAGGUCUCUGCAAAACCGUAAGGUGACGUAUAGGGGCUGACGCCUGCCCGGUGCUGGAAGGUUAAGAGGAGUGCUUAGCUUCGGCGAAGGUACGAAUUGAAGCCCCAGUAAACGGCGGCCGUAACUAUAACGGUCCUAAGGUAGCGAAAUUCCUUGUCGGGUAAGUUCCGACCCGCACGAAAGGCGCAACGAUCUGGGCACUGUCUCAACGAGAGACUCGGUGAAAUUAUAGUACCUGUGAAGAUGCAGGUUACCCGCGACAGGACGGAAAGACCCCGUGGAGCUUUACUGCAACCUGAUAUGGAAUGUUUGUACCGCUUGUACAGGAUAGGUAGGAGCCGAAGAGACGUGUGCGCUAGCAUACGAGGAGGCAAUGGUGGGAUACUACCCUGGCUGUAUGACCAUUCUAACCCGCCACGCUUAGCGCGUGGGGAGACAGUGUCAGGUGGGCAGUUUGACUGGGGCGGUCGCCUCCUAAAGAGUAACGGAGGCGCCCAAAGGUUCCCUCAGAAUGGAUGGAAAUCAUUCGCAGAGUGUAAAGGCACAAGGGAGCUUGACUGCGAGACUGACAAGUCGAGCAGGGACGAAAGUCGGGCUUAGUGAUCCGGUGGUUCCGCAUGGAAGGGCCAUCGCUCAACGGAUAAAAGCUACCCCGGGGAUAACAGGCUUAUCUCCCCCAAGAGUCCACAUCGACGGGGAGGUUUGGCACCUCGAUGUCGGCUCGUCGCAUCCUGGGGCUGUAGUCGGUCCCAAGGGUUGGGCUGUUCGCCCAUUAAAGCGGCACGCGAGCUGGGUUCAGAACGUCGUGAGACAGUUCGGUCCCUAUCCGUCGCGGGCGCAGGAAAUUUGAGAGGAGCUGUCCUUAGUACGAGAGGACCGGGAUGGACACACCGCUGGUGUACCAGUUGUUCCGCCAGGAGCAUCGCUGGGUAGCUAUGUGUGGCAGGGAUAAACGCUGAAAGCAUCUAAGCGUGAAGCCCCCCUCAAGAUGAGAUUUCCCAUUUCUUCGGAAAGUAAGAUCCCUGAAAGAUGAUCAGGUAGAUAGGUUUGGAGUGGAAGUGUAGCGAUACAUGGAGCGGACAAAUACUAAUCGAUCGAGGACUUAACCAA
rnacentral:rRNA from 1 species